rnacentral:rRNA from 1 species
CAAUAGCGUAUAUUAAAGUUGUUGCAGUUAAGAAGCUCGUAGUUGGACCUUGGACCUGGACAGGCGGUCCGCCUCACGGCGAGUACUGUCUUGCUGGGUCUUUCCUCUUGGUGAUCUGUUGUUUCGGCAGCAGGGAACCAGGACCUUUACUUUGAAAAAAUUAGAGUGUUCAAAGCAGGCUCGGCGCAGGAAUAUAUUAGCAUGGAAUAAUAAAAUAGGACGUGCGGUUCUAUUUUGUUGGUUUUUGGAAUCGCCGUAAUGAUUAAUAGGGACAGUCGGGGGCAUUAGUACUCACAUGCUAGAGGUGAAAUUCUUGGAUUUUGUGAAGACUAACUUCUGCGAAAGCAUUUGCCAAGGAUGUUUNCAUUA